AUGGCGGGGCGCAAGGAGACGGCGCUCGACCUGGCCAAGUUCGUCGACAAGGGCGUCCAGGUCAAGCUCACCGGCGGCCGCCAAGUUACAGGAACCUUGAAGGGAUAUGACCAGCUGCUCAACUUAGUGCUGGAUGAAGCAGUCGAGUCUGAAAGAGAGCAAGAUGACCCGUUGAAGCUGUCAACCAAGACCAGACAACUUGGUCUCAUUGUGUGCAGAGGCACUGCUGUCAUGCUGGUGUCACCAACUGAUGGAACCGACGAGAUUGCCAACCCCUUCCUCGCAGCGGAGGGGGCGUCAUAA
rnacentral:rRNA from 1 species